rnacentral:tRNA from 2 species
GUCAGGAUAGCUCAAUGGUAGAGCACAAGACUCAUAAGCUUGUGGUUGUGGGUUCAAGUCCCACUCCUGACA